rnacentral:misc_RNA from 1 species
AAAGCGCGCCUUUGAUAACACUGGUCCAAAGAUAACUUUGUUUUCGUAGAUGUUGUGAUCAAACCGUUACCCGCUAUGAGAACUGGAACACUAACAUGAACAAUCCUCAACCAUCUCCGCUACUGUCUGCCGCUUCAUGCGCCGACCAGAGCAUCCCAGAUUCUAACAGGAUCUGUUCACGCGCUGGCCAACUGGAGUUUAGAGAUUGAUUGCCAUUUUUUCAGAUAAAA